UGGUCUGUGGGCAGUGAAAAUUUGUUUGGAAAUGUGGUAGACACUCACCCUCUGCAUCGUUCUUGCUGAAAACUGCACUCCAGAGCUGUUCCUAUUCUGCCAUUUUGGAUCCUCCCCUCCCUGCAUCUCUCUUUUAA